CACACACACACACACACACACACACACACACACACACACGCACACGCCAGCGCGCGCGCACACACCGACGCACUCUGGCUCUUUCUCAGACGCGCUUGCUUUUACCGGAUCCGUGCUCUGCAAUGACUUCGAGCAAAAACACACCCGUGUGUGUGUGUGUGUGUGUGUGUGUGUGUGUGUGUGUGUGUGUGUGUGUGUGUGUGUGUGUGUGUGUGUGUGUGUGUGUGUGUGUGUGUGACUGAGGGCGCGGUGUGCGCGCAGUUUUAGCGCCUUCCCCAACGGGACCGUGCUCUGUAUCUGUCUCUAUUACCGCCGGGGUAGACACCGAGACAACAAGACUCGGGGGAUCUCUGCCUGCAUCUCAACUGCUGGCUUUUAUGGCUGUAUGUUCGCAAAUCAUCCUCCCGAAGUAUCCAUUAACUGCACGUUAUAGCGUGUCCCUGCCCCAACACACCUGACUCAACUCUUCAGCUCAUUAACAAGCGCUUGACGAGGGUAGAACGGAUGCUGGCGCGUGGGAGUAGGGCUAGGAAGCGCGCAUUAAGUUUAAGAAGACAGAGCAGACCUCCCCUUACGGAGUUCAGAGCCCAGUCCCAGCUGAAUAGAAACAGUUGCAUGCCAUGAAGCUGCUACCACCAAGCAUCAUUGAGCCCAGUCCCAGGUUUGCUGCUGACGCUACAGUUGUGGGCCUCAUCAGCAUUAAUGCUUGGUCAGCACACAGGGGAAGGAGAACCAUCAAUGAUACAACUCUUGACAGUGUGAAAAAGUUUCUCGGUGUGUGCCUGACAGAGGAUCUUACCUAGACUCUCAACACCACCUGCCAAAAACUCUCAGCAGCACCUCAACUUCCUGUGAAGUCCGAAGAGAGCCAAAAUUUCUCUCCUAUUUUCACUGCCUUCUACAGUUGAAAGCAUCCUGAAGAGCCGUCUCACUAUGUAACGCCAAUACCACCAUGAAUGUCACUUAUAACAACCAGUGCAUCCUCAAAGCCACCAGCAUGGUGACCAACCUCACUUUCCCAUUCCUUGGACUCUUCACCCUCCUGCCAUUUGUCAGAAGGUACAGUAGCAUCUGUGCCUCUGACAGAAGACUAAAACACAGUUUUAUCCCAGAGGCAAACACUUUACUCAACACCCUGCAUUCUAUGUUCUAUAUUGUUCUAUGUAAUUAUGGUUCUGUUUUUUUUUUUUCCAGCAUUCACCUCACUGUUAUAUUUGCACUUUAUGUAGCCUUGCAUAUUGUUAUAUAUUGCAGAAUGGUCCUGAAGAAACAACAUUUCAUUCAAAUGUCUACAAGCUGUAUAAUAGAAUGACAGUUAAAAAAAAACAAACACACACUUAAUUUGACUUGAUUAAACCAAUUUAACAUAUUGCCACAUAGUUUGGGGUAUUUUUUGGGAUGUUUGAUUUUUUUUGGCUAUGAGAAAGGGGUUUUAUUUGGAGGUCUAUUUGGAGUCUCCCUGAUAAGUUUUCUUGUCCUUUCAUCACUUUUUUAGGAUGUCCUGUUCUUGGUACUGCCUCUGUUGUGCCCCAUUGUCUCCACUUGUUGAUGUUGGCCUUCGUUUUGUUCCAUGGUACAUCUAAUGUUUUGGAAAUUCUUUUGUAUCCGUCUCCUGAUUGAUACCCUUCAACAAUGAGAUUCUGUAAAUGCUUUAUAAGCAAUUUGCAAGUGAAGGCUUCAGCAGUCAAAUUAAAUCAAGAUGUCAAGAAAAUCUUAGAGAAAUUACUGAUUUUUAUUUGUGGUUAAUCAGAAUCACUUUAUUGAUGACAGGUGUAUGAUAACCUAUUAUAAAAAAUAAUUUUGUUGGCUGCUGUCUCACAUUUACAGUGGAAAUCAAUCAGACAUGAUUUAACUUGGUUUCAAUUGGCUUCACAAACACAUUAUUGUACUGUAAUAGACAUGUGACUUAAAAUUAAUACUAUCAAUGUAUUUUAUUUACAGAUGUUACAAAUCCUUUUAGUAUCCUGUUAGGAUCUCAGUUAGUACUUUUAUUUAUUUAACUGACAUUUCAGGCAAUUCUGCAUAUUUUGUUUUGUAAUUAUGUAUGUGUGCAU